GAGGCAGUUGUCCCGUGACUUCCCCAACGGCCCUUCAGCGCUGGAAGCCUGCAGAGGUUCAGCUGUGGCUCUUCUGUCAUGGCUGGCCUCAAAGUGAGAAUUCUAUCUGUGCUCUGUGCCGUGUUCUGCUGUAGCACAAACACUGGAAGCGAUGGGAGUCUUUGCUGUGUCUGAGUGGGUUUUGUGUUUUGUGCUGCAGUGUAUAAGCUUGGGAGGAUACAGGACAGGAGACCUGGAACGUCUCUGCCGUGAGAGACCGGCCGAUCCUCCGGAGGUCCUCUCACACCUGCAGGGUCGUAAGAGGUGAACAGAGAAGCGAGACGGCUGCUGGUGUACAGACUGUGACAGGAACGGUGUAAGAGUCUGCA